UUAAAUGUACGUUUGAAUAGCCCACGUCAACAUUUUAUGUUUAACAACAAGUCUGGGUACAUAUCGUAAGAUUACUAAGUUUUAGGAGAAUUAACACAUUUGUACUCAAGGGACCAUAAUUUGUAAUGUCAAUUGAAAGCAAUCAUUAGAUAUAUCACUUUUUUAAGCUUUGUGGCCUAAGCUAUCGUGAAAUGUUACACACUAUUUGUAUCACGAGUUUAGCAUGCCACUUUUAUUAUAAAACGUUGGAAGUUGAAUCUGUGGGUAAGAAGAAAAAGAGUGAUGGUUCAUGAAUAUUAGAAAAGUGUUGAAAAGGAUGAGGAAGAGUAGAUUAUGGAUGUCAGUUUUAGUUAAUCGUAACAGCAGAAACGGAAAACUGGCGAGCGAGAUAAAUCCGGCCUUGUUGCUCUUCUUCCGUCCGUUCUAUCAAGAAGUGAAAGCUGUUUUAUCAAGAGCAAGACAGACGUUGCUUAUCUUAGCUAAUUUUGAAAUGUUCUGGAUCACUUAAUUAUUUUAAAUGUGUUUAAUGCAUACCUUAAUAUAACUCUUUCUGUCCUUAAUCGUACUUUCUACUGAAUGUUCUAUUUUGUAAAUAAAUGAACUUAGCGAAUAAAUUGGAUGCCCUUGAAA